rnacentral:rRNA from 1 species
AACGAACGCUGGCGGCAUGCCUAACACAUGCAAGUCGAACGAGACCUUCGGGUCUAGUGGCGCACGGGUGCGUAACGCGUGGGAACCUGCCCUUAGGUUCGGAAUAACUCCCCGAAAUGGGUGCUAAUACCGGAUAAUGUCUUCGGACCAAAGAUUUAUCGCCUUUGGAUGGGCCCGCGUUGGAUUAGCUAGUUGGUAGGGUAAAAGCCUACCAAGGCGACGAUCCAUAGCUGGUCUGAGAGGAUGAUCAGCCACACUGGGACUGAGACACGGCCCAGACUCCUACGGGAGGCAGCAGUGGGGAAUAUUGGACAAUGGGCGAAAGCCUGAUCCAGCAAUGCCGCGUGAGUGAUGAAGGCCUUAGGGUUGUAAAGCUCUUUUACCCGGGAUGAUAAUGACAGUACCGGGAGAAUAAGCUCCGGCUAACUCCGUG